ACAAGAAGUUGUCUAUGACAAGAAACCAUAAAAACAAAAGUAAUCAGCUGUUGGCUUUACUUUAUUUCAUCAGUGCUUGUGUAUUUUGGAUAUUCAUUAAAUAGUUUAUUAAGAGAAAGUCUAAAUUGCAAAGUGAAUGUCAGAAAAGAUUACUUUGUUAAUAGGUUGCUGAUGGGUUUUGGGAUGAUUCGCCACUUGUUGUUGAUGUCGGAUUUAAUCAGUUGCCGUGAAGACUGUUUAGGUCGAGGUGAAUGCAAUAAUGGCACAUGCCUAUGCGAAAUAAGGUUCACAGGAGAAUAUUGUGAUGGACCAAACUUACCCUAUCAUGCUGGUAUUGGCGGUGUAUUUUUGUUGGUAGCACUAGUUUGUGCUAUUCAACUGAUGAUGUGCAUUGCAUUCGAGUAUCAACGCUUGAAGGCCCCUACAUUUCUAAAAGCAUGCAGAAUAACCACCCAAAAGCUUCUAUACUUUGUUAUGUUUCUUGCGAGUCUGAUAAGAGGAGCCUACUUUUUAUCUCCAAACAAUUUCAAGGAAGGAUGGUCAAAUCUACUGCUCACUUCAUAUUAUCCUCUUCUUUUAUCAGGAUCAUCCCUAAUAGUUUGCUUUUGGGCUGAGGUACAGUUUUUUUUAUUACCUU